rnacentral:rRNA from 1 species
CUGAGGGGGGCUGCUCCUAGUACGAGAGGACCGGAGUGGACGCAUCACUGGUGUUCGGGUUGUCAUGCCAAUGGCACUGCCCGGUAGCUAAAUGCGGAAGAGAUAAGUGCUGAAAGCAUCUAAGCACGAAACUUGCCCCGAGAUGAGUUCUCCCUGAGACUUAGAGUCUCCUGAAGGAACGUUGAAGACGACGACGUUGAUAGGCCGGGUGUGUAAGCGCAGCGAUGCGUUGAGCUAACCGGUACUAAUGAACCGUGAGGCUUAACCUUAC